rnacentral:rRNA from 1 species
UACGUAGGGUGCAAGCGUUGUUCGGAAUUACUGGGCGUAAAGCGCACGUAGGCGGAUUUGUAAGUCAGGGGUGAAAUCCCGGGGCUCAACCUCGGAACUGCCUUUGAUACUGCAAAUCUCGAGUCCGAUAGAGGUGGGUGGAAUUCCUAGUGUAGAGGUGAAAUUCGUAGAUAUUAGGAAGAACACCGGUGGCGAAGGCGGCCCACUGGAUCGGUACUGACGCUGAGGUGCGAAAGCGUGGGGAGCAAACAGG